AUUGAACGCUGGCGGCAUGCUUUACACAUGCAAGUCGAACGGCAGCGCGUGCUUCUUCCUGGCGGCGGGUGGCCAACGGGUGAGUAAUUCAUCGGAACGUGCCCUGUCUUUGGGGAUAGCUCGGCGAAAGCCGGAUUAAUACCGCAUACGAUCUAAAGUUGAAACACGAGGAUCUUCGGACCUCGCUCCAUUGGCGCGGCCGAUGGCAGAUUACCUAGUGGGUGGGGUAAAGGCCUACCAAGGCGACGAUCUGUAGCUGGUCUGAGAGGAGGACCACCAAAACUGGGCCUGAGACACGGCCCAGACUCCUACGGGAGGCACCAGUGGGGAAUUUUGGACAAUGGCCGAAAGCCUGCCCCAGCAAUGCGGGGUGGGUGAUGAAGGCCUUCGGGUGGUAAAGCCCUUUUGGAGGGAAGGAAAAGGACUGUGCCAAUACCCCGGUCCGAUGACGGUACCCGCACAAUAAGCAACGGCUAACUACGUG
rnacentral:rRNA from 1 species